rnacentral:rRNA from 1 species
UCGGGAAUUUUGGGCAAUGGGCGAAAGCCUGACCCAGCAACGCCGCGUGAAGGAUGAAGUAUUUCGGUAUGUAAACUUCGAAAGAAUAGGAAGAAUAAAUGACGGUACUAUUUAUAAGGUCCGGCUAACUACGUGCCAGCAGCCGCGGUAAUACGUAGGGACCAAGCGUUGUUCGGAUUUACUGGGCGUAAAGGGCGCGUAGGCGGCUUGACAAGUCACUUGUGAAAUCUCUGGGCUUAACCCAGAACGGCCAAGUGAAACUGUCAUGCUAGAGUGCAGAAGGGGCAAUCGGAAUUCUUGGUGUAGCGGUGAAAUGCGUAGAUAUCAAGAGGAACACCUGAGGUGAAGACGGGUUGCUGGGCUGACACUGACGCCGAGGCGCGAAAGCCAGGGGAGCAAACGGGAUUAGAUACCCGAGUAGUCCCUGAGCGGGCUGGCAAGGCGCAU